GUGUCACCGAGUCCCCCCCUUGCUGACUCUGGCCCGGCUCUCCUGCUGAGACUGUGAUUUCCAGGGGGUUUUUGUCUGAAACUCAUGUGUCUUGGAGAGGACUCUGAGCCCAGCGCUGUACAGGAGGCUCUUCCUUUGUCCUGGGGGAGUUGCGUGGACCCUGUUUUUGGUCAAGGGUGUGGUUCGUCCGCCAGUGAGGGGCUCGGGACGUCAGCAGCUGGUCUCUGUCCCUGCGGUCUGGGCUCGGGCUCACUGCUCCCCUGCCCUCCAGGUGUGGGGCGAGGAGUGGGAGCCCAGCUAGUGGAGCACCCGCAGAGACCGGGGCCUGCACACAUUCCACCUGGUGUGUGGGUGGGCCAGGCCCCUCUGGGCAGGUCGGCCUCAGCGGGGAGGGUGGUUGGGUCCUGCUCGUUUUCCUUUGGGUUAAUGGGAUUCAUCUCCUGGCCGCAGACCCCCUUAGGCUGCCCCCGUCCCUCCAGCAAUGCAAGACAUGGCAGGUCACCCUGGAGGGAGACAUGUUCUGGCCUGGGUGUCGGGUGUGGCCUCAGAUCCUCCUGCGUGCUCUGGGUUGAGCAGGAUGGCAGACGACCCAGGGCCCCCACCCUGUCUGAGGACAUUUUUGCUGCAGCAACUGUGGGAGCUGACAGUGUUCACGGCCACGCCAUGGUCAUCAUCGUAGUCAAGGCUUUCUAA
rnacentral:lncRNA from 10 species